rnacentral:tmRNA from 1 species
GGGGGUGACUUGGCUUCGACGGGGAGCAUUCUGGCAGAAGUGGCGCGUCGAGUUCCGUGCUCUCGUUAAACGAGCGGAAACGAAUACACAACAACAACGAAUACGCUUUAGCCGCCUAGUGUGGUUACGUCCACCUGGCCUUGCCGGCGGGGUCAGACUGGGCGUCAAAACAGCCGGAUACUCUGCGUGAAGGCCCCUGGCACGCGGGGGAACCAAAAAAGAGGAUUGGGAUUUGCGCAUCCUGCCUGGGGGAGGCGUACGUCCCGAAAAACAAAACACAGGCUACACGCGUAGAAGCUUCUGUGGGGAUCUUUUCGGACGCGGGUUCAAUUCCCGCCACCUCCAUCA